GCUGACGAGUGGCGAACGGGUGAGUAAUACAUCGGAACGUGCCCAGUCGUGGGGGAUAACUACUCGAAAGAGUAGCUAAUACCGCAUACGAUCUGAGGAUGAAAGCGGGGGACCUUCGGGCCUCGCGCGAUUGGAGCGGCCGAUGGCAGAUUAGGUAGUUGGUGGGAUAAAAGCUUACCAAGCCGACAAUCUGUAGCUGGUCUGAGAGGACGACCAGCCACACUGGGACUGAGACGCGGCCCAGACUCCUACGGGAGGCAGCAGUGGGGAAUUUUGGACAAUGGGCGAAAGCCUGAUCCUUCAAUGCCGCGUGCAGGAUGAAGGCCUUCGGGUUGUAAACUGCUUUUGUAC
rnacentral:rRNA from 1 species